rnacentral:lncRNA from 1 species
GCGAGACUCCGUGGGCGUAGGACCCUCCGAGCCAGGUGCGCGAUAUAAUCUCGUGGUGCGCCGUUUUUUAAGCCCGUCGGAAAAGCGCAGUAUUCGGGUGGGAGUGACCCGAUUUUCCAGGUGCCGUCCGUCACCCCUUUCUUUGACUGGGAAAGGGAACUCCCUGACCCCUUGGGCUUCCCAAGUGAGGCAAUGCUUCGCCCUGCUUCGGCUCGCACAAGGUGCGCGCACCCACUGACCUGCGCCCACUGUCUGGCACUCCCUAGUGAGAUGAACCCGGUACUUCAGAUGGAAAUGCAGAAAUCACCUGUCGUCUGCGUCGCUCACGCUGGGAGCUGUAGACCGGAGCUGUUCCUAUUCGGCCAUCUUGGCUCCUCGAUCCUGAAUUUUUGGGGCAAAGUCAAUCAGAGUGGUCCUGCCGAAGAGGAUUGUAUUUUUGUAUCUUCAGGAGUUUAUUGGCAUCAAAAUGAGGUAAAUAUGGAAUACAACGCAGCAAUAAAAAUGAAUCAACUAUUUGUACACAAAGCAAAACUCACGAAAAGAGCCAGACAAAAGGGUGAUUUCCAUGUAUUCUCAACAAAAAUACUCUGCUAGUGAUACAGCUCUAAUGAAUGGAGGAACACCAGGUUCUUGUCUCGCACGAUUUAGAUAAAACAACAUGGACACAUGUGGAGUGGAGCAGAGUUUAAUAAGCAAGAAAGAAAAGAGAAGGCAAAAGGAAGAGGCUCCCCAAUAAAGACACAGAGGGAGGGGGGCUCCAAAGCUAAAAGAGGAGACUCCACGUCCCACAGAUACCAGCCAGGUAUAAGAAGAGGCUGGAGGAGGCGGUGUUGGAUUUGCAUAGGACUCAGGGGAUUGCUUUGACCAGGCCUGUUUUUCACAUAGCUUCUAAAAAACUAGCCCUCCCACCCUAGCCUUUUAAUAUACAAACACAAGGCACCAUGAUGUUUUACAUAUGUGGGGAUAUGUGGGGACAGCCAUGUUGCCAGGCACAUGUGGGGCAAGGGCAAGAAGGCCAUGGGAAUUGCCAUUUUUGGGUGGACCCAGUCUCUAAUGGCCGACAUUCGCCUAUUAAAGGUUGCCUCCAUGGCUUUAAGAGCCUGGACUUUGCUUCUAGACAAGAAACGUUUUUGGAGCUGCUUUAAAAGAAACCAAAACGUUUCCUCUUUAUCUGCCUAAAAUAAUUUCUUAAAAACUCCUACCACAGUAAUUAUAAAAAGUCUUGGCCGGGUGUGGUGGCUCAUGCCUGUAAUCCCAGCACUUUGGGAGGCUAAGGUGGGCAGAUCACGAAAUCAAGAGAUGGAGACCAUCCUGGCCAGCAUGGUGAAAGCCCGUCUCUACUAAAAAUACAAAAAUUAGCUGGGCCGUGGUGGUGCAUGCCUGUAGUCCCAGCUACUUGGGAGGCUGAGGCAGGAGAAUUGCUUGAACCUGGGAGGCAGAGGUUGAAGUGAGCCGAGAUCACGCCACUGCACUCCAGCCUGGUGACACAGUGAGACUCUGUCUCAAAAAAAAUAAAAUAAAAUAAAAAAGUUUUGUUAUUUGAUAGAUCAAGACCUCUCACCUUGUUUUGUUCAAAAACUUG